rnacentral:rRNA from 1 species
ACAAGUUGACAAGAGCAUCGGGUGGAUGCCUUGGCGUCGGAAGGCGAUGAAAGACGUGGUAAGCUGCGAAAAGCCUCGGGGAGAAGCUAAACAUUCUAUGAUCCGGGGAUUUCUGAAUGGGGAAACCCGGCGGAGGUCAUGCUCCGUCGCGGGUACUUGAAUACAUAAAGUGCCCAGCGCCAACUCAGGGAAGUGAAACAUCUCAGUACCUGAAGGAAAAGAAAUCAAACGAGACUCCCAAAGUAGCGGCGAGCGAAAUGGGAUGAGCCCAAACCGGCUGGAUUCGUUCAGCCGGGGUUGUAGGGCCGGCAUAUGUGAUUCAUGAGUAGGCAGGGGAAAUGAGCUGGAAAGCUCUGCCAGAGCGGGUGACAGCCCCGUACCUGAAACCCAAAGCGACACAGCCGGUACCUGAGUACCGCGAGACACGUGGAACCUCGUGGGAAUCCGGGAGGACCAUCUUCCAAGGCUAAGUACUAACCGACGACCGAUAGUGUACCAGUACCGUGAGGGAAAGGUGAAAAGAACCUCUGUUAGAGGAGUGAAAUAGAAUCUGAAACCUGGUGCUUACAAGCUGUGAGAGCGGACUUGUUCCGUGAUCACGUGCCUUUUGCAUAAUGAGUCAGCGAGUUAAUCUGUACUGCAAGGUUAAGCGCAAGUGGAGCCGUAGGGAAACCGAGUCUGAUAAGGGCGAUGAGUAGUGCGGAUUAGACCCGAAACCGGGUGAUCUAUCCAUGAGCAGGUUGAAGCAAGGGUAAAACCUUGUGGAGGACCGAACCAAUACCGGCUGAAAACGGUUUGGAUGACUUGUGGAUAGGGGUGAAAGGCCAAUCAAACCCGGUGAUAGCUGGUUCUCCCCGAAAUAUAUUGAGGUAUAGCCUCAUGGAUUGUCUACCGGAGGUAAAGCACUGACAGGGCUAGGGGUCCUACCAGAUUACCAAACCCUAUCAAACUCAGAAUGCCGGUCAGAUGUACCAUGGGAGUCAGACGGCGGGUGCUAAGGUCCGUCGUCGAGAGGGUAAGAGCCCAGAUCAACAGCUAAGGUCUCCAAAUCUAUGCUCAGUGGUUAAGGUGGUGACGUUGUAGAGACACCCAGGACGUUGGCUUAGAAGCAGCCAUCGUUUAAAGAAAGCGUAAUAGCUCACUGGUCUAAUGACGUUGCGCCGAAAAUGUAACGGGGCUAAGCAUAGUACCGAAGCUUUGAAUUCCGCGAAUGCGGUCUGGUAGGGGAGCGUUCUUCACGGGCUGAAGGUGUGUCGUAAGGCAUGCUGGACUGUGGAGAAGUGAUUAUGCUGACAUGAGUAACGAUAAAACGGGUGAAAAACCCGUUCGCCGUAAACCCAAGGUUUUCCGGGUAAAGGUAAUCUUCCCGGAGUUAGUCGGCCCCUAAGGCGAGGCUGAAAGGCGUAGCUGAUGGGAAACGUGUUAAUAUUCACGUACUUGUGUGUUCGCGCGAUGAAGGGACGCAGGAAGAUAGGCAAGCCGGGCGCUGGUUGUCCCGGUGCAAGUGUGUAGGGAUGAAGAAUUGGCAAAUCCGUUCUUCUCUAUCCUGAGACACGAGUCCGUGACCGAAAGGUCUGAAGUUGUUGAGUCUAUGCUGCCUAGAAAAGCUUCUAAGUAUAGGACACGCAAACCGUACCGGAAACCAACUCAGGUGGGUGGGAUGAAUAAUCCAAGGCGCUCGAGAGAACUCUGGCCAAGGAACUCGGCAAAAUAACCCCGUACCUUCGGAAGAAGGGGUGCUUUUUAGGGUGAAGCGAUUCACUCUGUCGAGCCCUGAAAAGCCGCAGAGAAAUGGUGGUGGCGACUGUUUACUAAAAACAUAGGUCUGUGCCAAGUCGUAUAGACGACGUAUACGGACUGACGCCUGCCCGGUGCUGGAAGGUUAAAAGGAGGAGUCAGCGCAAGCGAAGCUCCGAAUUGAAGCCCCAGUAAACGGCGGCCGUAACUAUAACGGUCCUAAGGUAGCGAAAUUCCUUGUCGGGUAAGUUCCGACCUG